CACACUAGCUAAUGUCGGACUC
rnacentral:siRNA from 1 species